rnacentral:snRNA from 1 species
CACGCCCGGUCGUACUCA